CAAAGAAGCUCGUCGUCAGUCUUUCCAUUUUUUUUUUUGUUUUGUUUUUUGUUUUUUUAAUCACAGUUCAU
rnacentral:ribozyme from 1 species